rnacentral:rRNA from 1 species
UCUCCGUAGGUGAACCUGCGGAGGGAUCAUUACAAGAACGCCCGGGCUUCGGCCUGGUUAUUCAUAACCCUUUGUUGUCCGACUCUGUUGCCUCCGGGGCGACCCUGCCUUCGGGCGGGGGCUCCGGGUGGACACUUCAAACUCUUGCGUAACUUUGCAGUCUGAGUAAACUUAAUUAAUAAAUUAAAACAUUUAACAACGGAUCUCUUGGUUCUGGCAUCGAUGAAGAACGCAGCGAAAUGCGAUAAGUAAUGUGAAUUGCAGAAUUCAGUGAAUCAUCGAAUCUUUGAACGCACAUUGCGCCCCCUGGUAUUCCGGGGGGCAUGCCUGUUCGAGCGUCAUUUCAUCACUCAAGCCUCGCUUGGUAUUGGGCAACGCGGUCCGCCGCGUGCCUCAAAUCGUCCGGCUGGGUCUUCUGUCCCCUAAGCGUUGUGGAAACUAUUCGCUAAAGGGUGUUCGGGAGGCUACGCCGUAAAACAACCCCAUUUCUAAGGUUGACCUCGGAUCAGGUAGGGAUACCCGCUGAACUUAAGCAUAUCA